UACGGGGGGAGCAAGCGUUGUUCGGAUUUACUGGGCGUAAAGGGCGCGUAGGCGGCCACCGCAAGUCAAUUGUGAAAUCUCCGGGCUUAACUCGGAAAGGUCAACUGAUACUGCGGGGCUAGAGUGCGGAAGGGGCAACUGGAAUUCUCGGUGUAGCGGUGAAAUGCGUAGAUAUCGAGAGGAACACCGGUGGCGAAGGCGACGUCCUGGACCGGCAUUGACGCUGAGGCGCGAAAGCCAGGGGAGCAAACGGG
rnacentral:rRNA from 1 species